rnacentral:rRNA from 1 species
UACGUAGGGGGCUAGCGUUAUCCGGAAUUAUUGGGCGUAAAGCGCUCGUAGGCGGCUAUUUAAGUCGGAGGUGAAAGCCCAAGGCUCAACUGGGGAAGGGCAUUGGAAACUGGAUAGCUUGAGUCCAGGAGAGGAAAGUGGAAUUCCCUGUGUAGCGGUGAAAUGCGCAGAUAUUCGGAAGAACACCAGUGGCGAAGGCG